AUUGAACGCUGGCGGCAGGCCUAACACAUGCAAGUCGAACGAGUGGCGGACGGGUGAGUAAUGUCUGGGAAACUGCCUGAUGGAGGGGGAUAACUACUGGAAACGGUAGCUAAUACCGCAUACAAUAGAAUUUGCCCAGAUGGGAUUAGCUAGUAGGGGGGGUAACGGCUCACCUAGGCGACACUCCCUAGCGGGUCUGAGAGGAUGACCAGCCACACUGGAACUGAGACACGGUCCAGACUCCUACGGGAGGCAGCAGUGGGGAAUAUUGCACAAUGGGCGCAAGCCUGAUGCAGCCAUGCCGCGUGUAUGAAGAAGGCCUUCGGGUUGUAAAGUACUUUCAGCGGGGAGGCGUUACCCGCAGAAGAAGCACCGGCUAACUCCGUGCCAGCAGCCGCGGUAAUAC
rnacentral:rRNA from 1 species